UACGUAGGGUGCAAGCGUUGUCCGGAAUUAUUGGGCGUAAAGAGCUCGUAGGCGGUCUGUCGCGUCGAAUGUGAAAACCCGAGGCUCAACUUCGGGCCUGCAUUCGAUACGGGCAGACUAGAGUUCGGUAGGGGAGUCUGGAAUUCCUGGUGUAGCGGUGAAAUGCGCAGAUAUCAGGAGGAACACCGGUGGCGAAGGCGGGACUCUGGGCCGAUACUGACGCUGAUGCGCGAAAGCCAGGGGAGCGAACGGG
rnacentral:rRNA from 1 species